GAUGAACGCUAGCUACAGGCUUAACACAUGCAAGUCGAGGGGUAACGAGAGGAAAGCUUGCUUUCCUUGUCGACGACCGGCGCACGGGUGAGUAACGCGUAUCCAACCUGCCCCCAACUAAGGAAUAACCUUGCGAAAGUAAGACUAAUACCUUAUAAUUUCCUCAGAUGCCAUCUGACGAGGAAUAAAGAUUUAUCGGUUGUGGAUGGGGAUGCGUCUGAUUAGCUUGUUGGCGGGGUAACGGCCCACCAAGGCAACGAUCAGUAGGGGUUCUGAGAGGAAGGUCCCCCACAUUGGAACUGAGACAUGGUCCAAACUCCUACGGGAGGCAGCAAUGAGGAAUAUUGGUCGAUGGGCGAAAGCCUGAACCAGCCAAGUAGCGUGCAGGAUGACGGCCCUAUGGGUUGUAAACUGCUUUUAUACAGGAAUAAAGUUAGCCACGUGUGGUUAUUUGUAGGUACUGUAUGAAUAAGGACCGGCUAAUUCCGUGCCAGCCGCCGCUGUAA
rnacentral:rRNA from 1 species